rnacentral:misc_RNA from 1 species
UGCGGAGGGAUCAUUACCGAGUUUACAACUCCCAAACCCCUGUGAACAUACCACUUGUUGCCUCGGCGGAUCAGCCCGCUCCCGGUAAAACGGGACGGCCCGCCAGAGGACCCCUAAACUCUGUUUCUAUAUGUAACUUCUGAGUAAAACCAUAAAUAAAUCAAAACUUUCAACAACGGAUCUCUUGGUUCUGGCAUCGAUGAAGAACGCAGCAAAAUGCGAUAAGUAAUGUGAAUUGCAGAAUUCAGUGAAUCAUCGAAUCUUUGAACGCACAUUGCGCCCGCCAGUAUUCUGGCGGGCAUGCCUGUUCGAGCGUCAUUUCAACCCUCAAGCACAGCUUGGUGUUGGGACUCGCGUUAAUUCGCGUUCCCCAAAUUGAUUGGCGGUCACGUCGAGCUUCCAUAGCGUAGUAGUAAAACCCUCGUUACUGGUAAUCGUCGCGGCCACGCCGUUAAACCCCAACUUCUGAAUGUUGACCUCGGAUCAGGUAGGAAUACCCGCUGAACUUAAGCAUAUC